AGUGAACGCUGGCGGUAGGCCUAACACAUGCAAGUCGAACGGCAGCACAGUAAGAGCUUGCUCUUACGGGUGGCGAGUGGCGGACGGGUGAGGAAUACAUCGGAAUCUACUUUUUCGUGGGGGAUAACGUAGGGAAACUUACGCUAAUACCGCAUACGACCUACGGGUGAAAGCAGGGGAUCUUCGGACCUUGCGCGAGUGAAUGAGCGGAUGUCGGAUUAGCUAGUUGGCGGGGUAAAGGCCCACCAAGGCGACGAUCCGUAGCUGGUCUGUGAGGAUGAUCAGCCACACUGGAACUGAGACACGGUCCAGACUCCUACGGGAGGCAGCAGUGGGGAAUAUUGGACAAAGGGCGCAAGCCUGAUCCAGCCAUACCGCGUGGGUGAAGAAGGCCUUCGGGUUGUAAAGCCCUUUUGUUGGGAAAGAAAAGCAGCAGGUUAAUACCCCGCUGUUCUGACGGUACCCAAAGAAUAAGCACCGGCUAACUUCGUG
rnacentral:rRNA from 1 species